CUGAAGAUACAUGUGGAUUGUGUUCAUCAAGGUUUGCAAAGCUUUCAGAGAGCUAGGAAUGACAUUGGUGGGGGCGUGAAAGAUGAGAAAGCCUCGGCUAUGGAGUCUAAACUGGAUUUGAAUUUAUCAUUUACCAGCUAUGUAUUCUCAGGCAAAUAAUAUAUUCAAACUUAGUUUCCCCAUCUAUAAAAAGAAGAAAAUAAUAUGUGCCUGCACAGUUGUCAAUAAAUGAAAUAAAUAUAUGUAACACUCCUAGCACA